CCUACGGGCUGCACCAGUGGGGAAUAUUGGACAAUGGGCGAAAGCCUGAUCCAGCAAUGCCGCGUGUGUGAGGAAGGUCUUCGGAUUGUAAAGCACUUUCGACCGGGACGAUGAUGACGGUACCCGUAGAAGAAGCCCCGACUACUUCAUGCCAGCAGCCGCGGUAAUACGAAGGGGGCUAGCGUUGCUCGGAAUGACUGAGCGUAAAGGGCGCGUAGGCGGUUUGUGCAGUCAGAUGUGAAAUCCCCGGGCUUAACCUGGGAACUGCAUUUGAGACGCAUAGACUAGAGGUCGAGAGAGGGUUAUGGAAUUCCCAGUGUAGAGGUGAAAUUCGUAGAUAUUGGGAAGAACACCGGUGGCGAAGGCGGCAACCUGGCUCGAUACUGACGCUGAGGCGCGAAAGCGUGGGGAGCAAACAGGAUUAGAUACCCCCGUAGUC
rnacentral:rRNA from 1 species